rnacentral:rRNA from 1 species
UACGGAGGGUGCAAGCGUUGUUCGGAAUUACUGGGCGUAAAGCGCGUGUAGGCGGCCGAUUAAGUCUGGUGUGAAAGCCCGGGGCUCACCCCCGGAAGUGCGCUGGAAACUGGUCGGCUAGAGUAUGGGAGAGGAAAGUGGAAUUCCCGGUGUAGCGGUGAAAUGCGUAGAUAUCCGGAGGAACACCGGUGGCGAAGGCGGCUUCCUGGACCGAAACUGACGCUGAGGCGCGAAAGCUAGGGGAGCAAACGGG